GAUGAAGAACGCAGCGAAAUGCGAUAAGUAAUGCGAAUUGCAGAAUUCAGUGAGUCAUCGAAUCUUUGAACGCACAUUGCGCCCUGUGGUAUUCCGCAGGGCAUGCCUGUUCGAGCGUCAUUUCAACCCUCAAGCCCCGCUUGGCGUUGGGCCCCGCCCGCCGUGGCCGGCCCUAAAGACAGUGGCGGCGCCGCCUGGCCCUCAGCGUAGUACAGCUCUCGCUCCAGGGUCCGGCGGCCGCCUGCCAGAACCCCCCCAACUCUGUGGUUGACCUCGGAUCAGGUAGGGAUACCCGCUGAACUUAAGCAUAUCAAUAAGCGGAGGA
rnacentral:misc_RNA from 1 species